GGUGCUAGCCGCAGCUGGGCCUCGGGAAAGAGUCAGCUCUGGCGGCGCUGCUGGUAACCUUGGCGGUGGGCGCUUAGGAGCAGAGAGUCCUCUCUUACCAUGUCUGGCUGGCGGCGACCCAGAUGCCAUGUGAUGGUCAUUUGAAGACAGGCCUGUCGGACAUCAGUUUGUAUGCAGGUUUCAUGCAGUGUUGCUGUUUAUCUGAGUUGGUGAUGCUGGACACAGGGAAUGACCUGAGUGAUACCUGUGGUGUCAAGAUGUCAAAGCAGCUCACAUUGGUUUGACAUUUCUCAGAAAAUUUAUGAAAGAUGCUGAGUGUCACAGAAAGCCCAAAGUCCACACGAGGAGAGAAGAUACCUGAGGACAAACAAUCCCUAAUAAUAGUCAUAAUAAUUGCGAGAACUAAUGUUUUUUGCAGCUUUUAGCCUGUGUCACACUGUUGUGUUAUGUCGUUUUAUCCUUGUCAACCCCACGAUGGAGAUCCUGUUAUCCCCAUUUAGAGAUGAGGACAGCGAGCACACAUCUGGUAAGGACUGAGGCUAGGAUUCAGGAUUCUGACUCCGGCAGUCUGAAUCCAGAGUCUGCACACGUAGCCUUGGUGACAUUUGCAGGCUUAGCCUUCCUGGGCGUCCUGAUAACAACUCAGCUGUUUGCCAUGGGAUGAAGUUGUUAUGGUGAGUGGAGAUAGAGGACUGAACUAGUCAAGUGUGAAUAGAGGCUUAACCUAUUCAAGAUGAGCAGAAGAUGGUGAUGUAGGAGCACCAUGAAAUCAGUCAAAUCCAAGAUUCUGUUAAUCACACUGGUUUCCAUCUUGCCAAUGUUACCCCAGACUCAAAGAGGCCACAGCGACUACUGGCCAGGCUUGAGGGGUCAGGGUGGAGACCCCCCAGCUGAAACACAGUUCAGUUGUUCUCCUUACCAGCUACUCACUUGCAUAUCUUGCCAACAUUUCAAACUCCUUGUACUUAAAACUGAACACCUUAUCUUUGCUUCCAAACUGGCUUGGUCUGACUUUCGUGUUCCUGACAGUUACUCUGGUUCAUAAGCUUGUAUCAGUUUUGUCCCUCCUCUCCCAUGUUCCCUACAUGUAAGAUGUCAUCAAGAUUCUGAGAACAUUUCUAAGCAAGCACAAGUCAUCUUGCUGCCUUCUGCCUAGCAACAGAUUCUGGAUUCACUUUUUAAUAAAAUUACAGUAUUUCUAGGUCGGUACAAUCCACCCACCCAGUGGGCUCCUAGGUGUUGCAGAAGCUUAGACCGCUGACCUUUCUCUCUCCAGUCUUGUACCCAGGCCUGCUGCAGCUACUGUUUCCUCCCCUCGCCACGUCUUUGUUUUCCUUUUUGUUCCCGUCACCACCUUGCCAAUGCAUGUCUUUUUCCACCUCUCUCCUGCAAGUAUAAGUAGCCUGCUGGGGUGCUCUCCUUGCCUACUUAGCAGCCUUCUCAGUUUGGGUGGAACAUUCUCCAUCAAUACUGUAGUGUUUAUAGGCUGUCUCUUUUGAUUUCAAAUUCUAGUUCCAGAUAUUGUUCUGUGGUUGGUUCUUAUAUGCAUCACUUGUCUUCCUGGCUCAAUAGUAAAUCUCCUAAGGCAGGAAACCAGGCUUUUGUUCUACUAACCAUAUUCCAGCCAUACUCCAGGCCCAUUGCUAGAUUGUCAGAUCUCUGAGAAUUUCAGAGGGUUCCUUUAAUAAUAUGUCCCAAAGAAACGUUAAGUGACUUGACUUAAUUAAAAUAUGUCUCAAAGAUAUUGAUACAGUCUU